rnacentral:misc_RNA from 1 species
GAUGAAGAACGUAGCAAAAUGCGAUACUUGGUGUGAAUUGCAGAAUCCCGUGAACCAUCGAGUUUUUGAACGCAAGUUGCGCCCGAAGCCUUUUGGCCGAGGGCACGUCUGCCUGGGCGUCACGCAUCGCGUCGCCCCCCAUAAUUCUCCGUAAAGGGAACAUGUGUUUUGGGGGCGGAUAUUGGUCUCCCGUGCUCAUGGCGUGGUUGGCCGAAAUAGGAGUCCUUUCGAUGGACGCACGAACUAGUGGUGGUCGUAAAAACCCUCGUCUUUUGUUUCGUGCUGUUGCUCGCAAGGUAAACUCUUUAAAAACCCCAAUGUGUCGUCUCUUGACGACGCUUCGACCGCGACCCCAGGUCAGGCGGGACUACCCGCUGAGUUUAAGCAUAUCAUAAGCGGAGGA